rnacentral:RNase_P_RNA from 1 species
ACGGGCCGCCGUACGAUCGCGUUCACCGAAGUCCUGAGUUUGUCGAAGGGCGAAGGUGGAUGAGGAAAGUCCGGACUCCAUAGAACAGGACGCUGGAUAACGUCCAGGGUCUUCGAGACUAACGUUUCGGAGAUACGAAAAGUGCAGCAGAGAAUAGACCGCCCCUCGAUGAGCCCCUACGGGACUUACUCGGGAUAGGCCCUCGGGCCUGACCUGAGCGGAGUUUUCAUUUAUGAAAACAAAGUCGAAGGGUAAGGGUGAAAAGGUGCGGUAAGAGCGCACCGCGUGGCUGGGAACAGACACGGUCAGUGUAAACCCCGUUCGGAGCAAGGCCAAAUAAGCAGUGAAGAUCACAUGUGAAAGCAAGUGAUCUCGGAUGUGGUUCGCAUUCGUUGAACUGUGGGUAGGUUGCUUGAGGCUGCUGGCAACAGCAGUCCUAGAUAGAUGAUCGUAAUUCGCCUGAAACGGCGAUUACAAAAUCCGGCUUACAGGCGGUCCGUAUUA